rnacentral:rRNA from 1 species
GCGGCGGACGGGUGAGUAACACGUGGGCAACCUGCCCUGCAGACUGGGAUAACUUCGGGAAACCGGAGCUAAUACCGGAUAACACCGAAAACCGCAUGGUUUUCGGUUGAAAGGCGGCUUUUAGCUGUCACUGCAGGAUGGGCCCGCGGCGCAUUAGCUAGUUGGUGAGGGUAACGGCUCACCAAGGCGACCGAUGCGUAGCCGACCUGAGAGGGUGACCGGCCACACUGGGACUGAGACACGGCCCAGACUCCUACGGGAGGCAGCAGUAGGGAAUCUUCCGCAAUGGACGAAAGUCUGACGGAGCAACGCCGCGUGAGCGAAGAAGGUCUUCGGAUCGUAAAGCUCUGUUGUCAGGGAAGAACAAGUGCCGUUCGAACAGGGCGGUACCUUGACGGUACCUGACGAGGAAGCCACGGCUAACUACGUGCCAGCAGCCGCGGUAAUAC